rnacentral:rRNA from 1 species
GACGAACGCUGGCGGCGUGCUUAACACAUGCAAGUCGAACGGCAAGGCCCUGCUUUUGUGGGGUGCUCGAGUGGCGAACGGGUGAGUAACACGUGAGUAACCUGCCCUUGACUUUGGGAUAACUUCAGGAAACUGGGGCUAAUACCCGUUAGGAGCUCCUGCUGCAUGGUGGGGGUUGGAAAGCUUCGGCGGUUGGGGAUGGACUUGCGGCUUAUCAGCUUGUUGGUGGGGUAGUGGCUUACCAAGGCUUUGCCGGGUCGCCGGCCUGAGAGGGUGACCGGCCACAUUGGGACUGAGAGACGGACCAGACUCCUACGGGAGGCAGCAGUGGGGAAUAUUGCACAAUGAGCGGAAGCCUGAUGCAGCAACGCCGCGUGCGGGAUGACGGCCUUCGGGUUGUAAACCGCUUUCGCCUGUGACGAAGCGUGAGUGACGGUAAUGGGUAAAGAAGCACCGGCUAACUACGUG